AUGAAAGAGUAGAUGCCCUACAAGCCAAUCGCAAUAUGUAUUGCGAAAGGUUUUUCUUUUGAUUUGUCCAAAUCAUGUACAUGACAUUUAAAUAUGAAUAAAGGCGUUAUGUUUUAUCAUAUGCUGUUGAUUAUAUUUAUGAUAAACUCCUUAGAUUAGGGCAAUAGUUUUAAGACUAUGAUGAGAUCAUACUAGUGAGACUUAAAAUCCUAAAAUCCUAAUCUUAAAUAUUCCCAGUCAUUGGUACAUUG
rnacentral:lncRNA from 1 species